AAAAAUAUAACUUGACACAACUUUAUCAUUUCUAUUUGACUAGAGAUUGAAAUCAAUAUUCUAUAGAUUUUAAGUCAGACUCUCCAUAAACGAGCCAUUGGUCCUUAGUAUUUCUCAAAUACUUAAGGAUUGUUCUAAUAACCUUUAAAUUUUUAUGGAGAAUAGAGAUGACAAUCAAGCUUUUAUUUUCUGUAGUGUAGGGAUGUUAUUCUCGAUUAAGAGAAUUUCAUCCAAACAAUACA
rnacentral:lncRNA from 1 species